AUACCAUUCGGGUAUGUGGAUUAAAAGGGAAUCGGGUGUAAAUCCCGGACAGUCCCGCUGCUGUGAAGCUCCGAAGAACAUCUUGAAACAACACUAUCGCCACUGGUUCUAGCGACCGGGAAGGCCUCAAGAUGGGAGUCAGUCAGAAGACCUGCCAUUCAUUAA
rnacentral:ncRNA from 1 species